AUUGAACGCUGGCGGCAGGCCUAACACAUGCAAGUCGAGCGGAUGAAGGGAGCUUGCUCCUGGAUUCAGCGGCGGACGGGUGAGUAAUGCCUAGGAAUCUGCCUGGUAGUGGGGGAUAACGUCCGGAAACGGGCGCUAAUACCGCAUACGUCCUGAGGGAGAAAGUGGGGGAUCUUCGGACCUCACGCUAUCAGAUGAGCCUAGGUCGGAUUAGCUAGUUGGUGGGGUAAAGGCCUACCAAGGCGACGAUCCGUAACUGGUCUGAGAGGAUGAUCAGUCACACUGGAACCGAGACACGGUCCAGACUCCUAAGGGAGGCAGCAGUGGGGAAUAUUGGACAAUGGGCGGAAGCCUGAUCCAGCCAUGCCGCGUGUGUGAAGAAGGUCUUCGGAUUGUAAAGCACUUUAAGUUGGGAGGAAGGGCAGUAAGUUAAUACCUUGCUGUUUUGACGUUACCAACAGAAUAAGCACCGGCUAACUUCGUG
rnacentral:rRNA from 1 species